GUCCGCUUCGAAGUGAAAAAGUUCAAAUAUUUCUAUUAGAAUCGAAAUAAUUCUAUCCUGCCAUGCUCUAUGCUCAUUUUAACAUGGGUAGGCAUUAUUUGGUAAACAUUUAAUACCUCGCUAACGCUCGGUAUUAAGAUAUUAACAAAUAUAAUGCCUACCCAUAUUAAAAUGAGCAUAGAGCAUGGCAGGAUAGAAUUAUUUCUUAAUCAAAAGCACAAUGGCAUGUAGUAACUAAAGAGUACGCCGCCAUCUUAACUUUCUAAAAACCAUAUAUGUCCGAUAAAUGCAACAGAAUCUAAAAUGAAAUAGCACCUUCUUAAUAAAAUAUUAUCCGAAUUUGAAGCGUACACGUAACGAAAUAAUCUUUCCCUUGAAAAUUUUCAUCCGUAUGACGUCGUGUUAUGCCAAGACGUAAAUUCGCCAAAGCCUUCAUGAAAUUUCGCGUAAUUUUAUU
rnacentral:lncRNA from 1 species